rnacentral:lncRNA from 10 species
ACUCUUUACCUUGUGAUCCACCCGCCUCAGCCUCCCAAAGUGCUGGGAUUACAGGCAUGAGCCACCGUGCCCAGCCCACAACAUGAUGUUUUGAAGUAUACAUACACUGUGGGAUAGUUAAGUCUAGACAGUGAUGACACAAGACAAAACAAUUACAUUUUCAUUCUAAAAGUAAUUUUUAAGGAGGCAAGGCAGUAUGUUAUGCACAUCUGAAGAUAUAUGAGGAAUACAGUUAGAUAGAAUGAAUAAGAGGUAGCAUUUGGUAGCACAAUAGGGUGACUACAGGUAAGAAUCAUUGUUUGUAUAUUUUAAAGCAACUAAAAGAGUAGGAUUAGAAUGUUCCUAACACAAGGAAAUGAUAAAUGCUUAAGGUGACAGAUACCCCAGUUACCAGUUUCAAUUGGCUGUGUAUCCCUGGCCUCGGGGUGAGGUUAACUGUGCAAAGGAAAGUCACAUUUCAGAACACUGGAUCGUUAAACUAGUCUGCAAGAGAACAUAAACCCUUCAUGAAAACCGGGGGUGCAAACCUUUCAGACAAGCAAAUCAAAACCACAAUGAGAUACCAUCUCACACCAGUUAGAAUGGCAAUUAUUAAAAAGUCAGGAAUACCAUUUGACCCAGCCAUCCGGUGAGAGCAGAGGAAAAGCAGACUGUUUUUUUUUUCCUCAUAGAGACUCCAUGAAGGAAAAAGUAUAGUAUUGAUGAGGAAUACCUUGUUAUAUUUCAAUAAGGAUACAUGGAUUCUAUAUCAUAUAAGGUAAGAUACUGAUUCUAUUAGGCUUUCAAAAUUGGUAUAAAUUUGGAGAUAUCAUACUCUUAGGGCCAGUUAAAUAUCAUUUUUUUAAAAAAAUUUCUACCCUAUUUUGUUUCUUUUUACAUAGCUUCUUUCUACAUAUUUUUGGUAGUUUUAAACAUUUCAAAUUUGACAUGAAAGUCAUGUGUGUGUAUAUAUACAUACAGACUUUAUAUACAAAGUUUAUAUAUAUGACUGUGUUUGUUUACAUUAUAGUAUAUUGGAAUGCUCAGGUGAAGUCAAAUGAAUAUGACUGAAGAAAAUCUCUCAAAUAUCUGUAUUUCCAAGGACUAUUAUGAGGCUUUUGUUAACAUAGCAUUUUACUUAGAUCCAAGGUUCAAACUGAGACCUCUAUCACAUCAAAAUCAUACUUUUGUUUACAGUAUUUUCUACAACUUUUAUCAG